rnacentral:rRNA from 1 species
AGUGAACGCUGGCGGUAGGCCUAACACAUGCAAGUCGAACGGCAGCACAGUAAGAGCUUGCUCUUACGGGUGGCGAGUGGCGGACGGGUGAGGAAUACAUCGGAAUCUACUUUUUCGUGGGGGAUAACGUAGGGAAACUUACGCUAAUACCGCAUACGACCUACGGGUGAAAGCAGGGGAUCUUCGGACCUUGCGCGAUUGAAUGAGCCGAUGUCAGAUUAGCUAGUUGGCGGGGUAAAGGCCCACCAAGGCGACGAUCCGUAGCUGGUCUGAGAGGAUGAUCAGCCACACUGGAACUGAGACACGGUCCAGACCCCUACGGGAGGCAGCAGUGGGGAAUAUUGGACAAUGGGCGCAAGCCUGAUCCAGCCAUACCGCGUGGGUGAAGAAGGCCUUCGGGUUGUAAAGCCCUUUUGUUGGGAAAGAAAAGCAGCAGGUUAAUACCCCGCUGUUCUGACGGUACCCAAAGAAUAAGCACCGGCUAACUUCGUG